GGGGAUAUGGCGUAAUGGUAGCGCAUUCGGCUCCAAACCGAAAGGUUGUAGGUUCGAGUCCUGCUAUCCUCA
rnacentral:tRNA from 1 species